rnacentral:misc_RNA from 1 species
AAAUGGAUAAUGAAGAUCCAAGCUACAGAUUGAAGUCAAGAGCUUAAACAACUUACGCAAACUGACACUAAAAUAAUCUAGAACAUAAGAGCAUUCCUCCUUCCAAAAUUAAUAAAGAAAUUGAAAUAUUUACAAAUUGAUGGCUCUUAUAUUGACUCUCUUAUGUUUGUCAAUACAGGAACUAAAAACAAUUCAUUCCUAACAACUCUGGAUAAAUGAAUAAACAAAUUUGUACGGGAAACAUACCGCAAAAUAGAUUGUG